rnacentral:rRNA from 1 species
GAUAAGCGCUGAAAGCAUCUAAGCGCGAAGCCUCUCCCAAGAUUAGGUUUCGUUUGAGUCCCCUGGAAGACUACCAGGUUGAUAGGCCGGAAGUGUAAGGUGAGUAAUCAUUUCAGCUGACCGGUACUAAUGGACGAAUGCUUAGCCGUUUU